CCAUCUGCGUGACAUGCGGGAUGAGAAACACUUUUCUCUCGGUGAGAAGAGGAGAAAGCACACGGUCACACGGUGUGGUCAAGAAUCUAUUUUUUUUCUGGGACUGAAAAUAUCCCUUUCACCUCUGUGAGAAGUUUUCAUCUGAGGCAAAUGAAAAAUAUUCCAUCCCCUUCCCACCCCCCAUCUCACCAACUUCAUAAAGAACAAGAGGAAUGAGACUUGGAGAGAAAUUGUCCUGAAAAGGUCAACCAUUUUCAACGUGUCCAAAGCAAUGAGGGAUUUCCAGUGAAUUAUAUUCCUUAAGGAAAGCCAGAGAUGUGGGGACAAGAACUGAAGGUGUGACUUAAGCUGAGGUCACCACAAACAGCGACAGAAAGUCCAGCCUUAGGCUGAGCAAAUUCCACCUCAGAGAAACCACACAAGGAAAUGCAUCCACCAAAUGAUAGAAGCAAACAGCCAUUGUAAACACAUCUUUUCCAUGAGCCUCAUGAAGUGCUUUACCUGAAUUUAUAACACUCUUGAAAUCAGCUUUAGGUCAAACACAGCUCAUGCAAAUUUCAGCCUGUAACUUUUUGCCCAACAUUAACACAGUUGUUGCUGCCUGGUGGGGAUAUCAAAGAUGGUAUGAACCUGCCUUUCAAGUCCGAGUCAUUGUGACAGGCCACACAAAGUCACUGCUUCUAGUUCUGAGGACAAAGACCUUGCAUGUUUGCCACCUGCUUCAAACCUUUCCAAUACAUUCCUAUGGAAAUGCUACCUUGGGAAAAAUACGGUUGGGCAUAUUUGUUGUUUGGGCAGCAACCCCUUUCAGUUCUAGCUCUUAAAAACUAUUUCUGCCAUGAUAAAUCAAUCCUUUGUGGAGAAGGCUGAUCAAGCCUUAAUUUGCACAGAUUAAUGCAUCCACACAAUACCAGUAUUCAAGAAAGAGUUUCUCUGUUCUGCCAGUGUGGGUAUUUCUGCUGGGCCAGGCUGUGCCAUGAGUAUUGCUCAACUGGUUUGUGUGGUGAAUGGACAUCACACCACUGGUGAAGCUGCAUUUCCACCUGUGAUAAGAACAUCAAAGCCAAACUCUCACAAAUGGGUAGCAGACUUAAAUAUUAAGUUGAUUUGUUAGUCCCACACUUUUAUAUUUUAAAAGUGCACACUUGGGAGAAAGUCUGAAAGCUGUCGUCUUCUCACUAAUCAUUGAAAUGAGACACUGCUUCAUGCAGUGAAAACGUGCCAAAAGGGAAGAACCUGUUUGAACAUUUGCUGCUACUAUGAAGUUUUAUCAGACAGGGAUGACACCAGAUGGCAUUUCUCACCCUUCAGGUGCAACCUGAGCCAGUAGCAGAGUAACAGAUCUCCUCCAUUGUUAUCCAGGCAUCUCCUCUUCCCAACCUUCUGUAUAUCAAUUUUUCCUUACCUCAUGUAACUCACCACUAGAGGAUCACUGCUUCAUUUACUGGAAAAAAAAAUUAUAUAGUGAAUGAGAAAUGGUUUUAAGGAAAAACUGCACAAGUCUGAUGAUUCAAGUCAUUGAAAGCAGCUGUGAAGAAGAGGAUUCUGAACUUGCCUCUAACAGAAAUCCACUGCAAUGCUCUCCAAUUUAAUAGCUGGGCACUAGUGUUAUUUUCCCUCAUUUUUCUGGACUCGCAAUUUUAAACCAUAAAGGUUUAUUCACCAAUGCACUGGGUACCUGCAGCUGCAAUCAAAGGUAAUAGGACUUUUAUUUUGAGCAUAUUAAUUGAUACAUAAUGCUAAGUACUCUAAAGUAAAUAAAUAAAUAAAUAAGUCAUCUUAGGCACCCUGUAUUGGACAGCAGCAUAAAAGGACACAUUUUUCCUGUGACUCACUUUCUUCCCUAUAAAACACUAAUAAUUUUUAAUGUGGAUGUGUCACAUUACAGUGAAUGGCAUAAGAGUGUCCAUUAGGAAAUUAGGCAACCUGUCUUCAGGAAAUGCUUUCAACUGUCAUGAAGUAACGUGUGGCACAGAGCCACACUUGGGCAUGAUGGAGCAAAAGAAUAUUAAAUAGCUGCUCUCCACCUGCAUCUGGCCAGCCCAUACACAUAAACAAGUCAGGAGCAUUAGAACAAAAAGGAUGUUAUUAAUCAUGUAAUUUAAAACUGUGUUUAGGGGAUAAUUUGACCAAAUAAUAAAUAAAUAAGAAUUAAGACUGCAGACGUAAUCACCUUGGGAUUUCAAAAUUUGAACACUUGGCUUUCUUAUUUAAUACAAUUUUUAUUUCUGUAUCCCUGAAGUCAGAGGCACAAAUUCCACCUCCUGCCAUUACUGGCAGCCCUGUUGUGUGCCACUGUAAAUUUUUCUAACUUCCAGGACCAUUCAGGACUCUUCAGAAGCCAACUCAGACAGAAGCAGCCACUUCCAGACCUAGAAUACAAGACACAGCCUUUCCCUGAUGGGUUGUAGCAGCAAAGAAAGGCCAGCUCCAAUCUGGUUAAUACUGACUGUUGAAUCCACCAGCUCUGCCACUGAACAGGAUACAACUGGAGUUGUCCCUCUCACUGGAUCCUUUCCCAGUUAGAAACUAGAGAAAGAAUGUAUGCCAUUGCUAUGCUAAUUUUGAGAAGGAAAAAAAAAACCACCAACCACCUAAAAACUGUGUUGUUAAGAGUCCAAAUAACUUAAGAUGCAAGAAGUCUCAGAGUGAGUCCAUUUAAUGGUCCAAAUAAAGUCCAUACAGGGGUCCUUCAACCAUUAGAAAAGUUAUGGUUUUUGUUAAUUUUGAUGUUUUAUGACUUCUAGUGACCCUGAUGUUUUGUUCAAAGUCAUUUUUGAAUUUUCAAAAAGCCAUAAAGCCCUCUGUUAACAGUUUCUCCAAACUGUAAGUGGAAAGUUUACCAUUAAAGUGGUAAAACACAAAGAUUUGGUGGUCUGACUAUUUUUAAACAGACCUUUUUCUGAGCAGUUCAAUCCUGCCAUACAUCACUCGAAGCCAGUAAAGGACUUCAUUGACACAGUAAUCUUCGGUGUAAAAUACCAGGUUCUGCAGAGAUAAUUCAUUUUGCAAAGUUUUCACUGGAAGUAAGUUCCAUAUCUCCAGGAUAAAUUUAUUAAUAUUGCCAGAUAGUUACAGCCUACAUCCCAGUAGCAGAGGAAUUAGAACUUGGAGCCAGCCACAUUUGAGAACAGCUAAGUGAAGUGGGUUCACAAUGCAGAUUUUUCAAAUUUAUGUGCAUGAAAAGUAAAGAGCUUCUUUCCUGCCCCUGUAUUUUCAAAGUGGUUAUCAGAAUAACAUUUUUCUACGUGGGUUCUUAUUAUAGAGAGCACAGCCAUCCGUGUUUGCAAAUCAUGUAACACCCUCUUUCCUUUGCAACAAGGGUGCAAGUAAUGUUGCUUGUCAACACCAAGGAGAGGAUAAAAUAAGUAUAGGGAGACAUAUCUUACAUAGAAAACAUUUUGGAAAGAAAAUCAUUUUAGUCAUCCUCAGGUGGGUAACAGUCCUCACUUCAUUUUUCCCCCAGAGAUUUAUUACUAGAAUUAGUGUUAAUCUCAAUAAAACUACAGUAUUUCUGCUAAUCCACCAGAAAGUAUCAAAGUUAAAAAGAGCUCAUGAUUUAUCAUGCACACCAUAGUACAGUUUUAUAACAUUUUUAUUAUUUUCAAAGCCUUCUAGGAUGUUCCUUAUCAAGAUGUGACAUAAUUCUUCCCAUAGCUCAGUUGUCUCGUUAUGGUGCUGCAGUACAUGAUAAAGAAAAUAAUUUAUAGUUGGAGAUAAACUUACUGUGUCUGGCUUUCCAUUUUAAUAAAAUUUACAACAGCGUUUGGAGAAACUGCAGUGUCAGAUUUCAUUGACUGUGGAAAAAAAAAUAUACUAGGAGCUAAGAUUGACUUUAUGCCCAUUUAGAUAUUUUGUAUAGCAGUCAUGGAAGCAGGCUGU